CCCUAAACCUAAAAAUGACAUUACAAUUUUUACUUCUGAAGCCGCCGCCCACACCAGACCAAAUUCUUCCUUCCUUCAAUCUCCAUCCUCUCUACCUCUUGCCCCUUGCAUCUGUCUCUUCUCUAGCCUAACUUAACCUAAUCGGCCUCCCUCCUGUGCAUUUUAUUCUCAUCUCACAAAAGAGCCGCCUCCUUCCCACUUCCCAGAGAAAAUCUUCCUCUCAAUCUUCCUUUCCCAGAAAUCGUCUUCAUUUGAGCAACGACAGGCGACAGCAAGGCUUCAGCGUUUUUCUCCAUCUUUCUCCUCUCUUUACUUCUGCACAAACCAUCUUCAUUAGAGAAACGACAACAAGGCAUGGAUCUUAGAUCAUCUAAGAUUUGUGAGCUUGGGUUGUUGAAGUGCAGUGUUUAAGCAUUAUCGUUGCUGGAAUUUUUGGAUGCUGCCAUUGCUGGAAUUUUUGGAUGCUGGUGUUGCUGGAUUUUUUUCUUCGAACUAUGCCGGAUGUUUAUGAUAAUUUAUUGCUGGUUGCUAAUGUAUUCGCUUGUUAAUUUUUACUUUUCUAGUGCGAACAAACUUUUAAUUUGAGAUGUUUAAAUUUGAUCA